AUGUCUCAGGUAAUCCCUGAGAAGUUCUAGCACAUUUUGCAUGUACCCAACAUCAACAUCAAUGGGUGGUAGAAAAUAGUCUUUGCUAUCACUACAAUUAACGGUGUGGGGUAGAGCUAUGCUCAUGUGAUGUUGAGAAAAGCAGACACUGACCUCACCAAGGGGAGCAGAGAAUUCAUGGAGGACAAGGUGGAACAUGUGAUCACCAUCAUGCAGAUUCUAUGACAGUACAAGAUCUCAAACUGGCUCUUGAACAGACAGAGGAUGUGAAGGACAGAAAUUACAACCAGGUUAGGGUCAAUGGUCUAGACAACAAGUUGUGUGAGGACCUGGAGUAGCUGAAGAAAUUAGAGCCCAGAGGAGGCUGUACCAGUUUUGAGGGCCUUUGUGUAUGAGGUCAGCAUACCAAGACCACUG
rnacentral:lncRNA from 1 species